rnacentral:rRNA from 1 species
CCUACGGGAGGCAGCAGUGGGGAAUCUUGGUCAAUGGACGCAAGCCUGACCCAGCAACGCCGCGUGAAGGCAGAAGGCUUUCUGGUUUUAAACUUCUUUUGUCAGGGACGAAGCCAGAUACGGUACCUUACGACUAAGCCACGGUUAACGACGUGCCUGCAGCCCCGGUGAUACGUAGGUCGCAAGCGUUAUCCGGAUUUACUGGUUGUAAGGGGCGUGUAGGCGGGACUGCAAGUCAGAUGUGAAAACCACGGGCUCAACCUGUGCCCUGCAUUUGAAACUGUAGUUCUUGAGUACUGGAGAGGCAGACGGAAUGCCUAGUGUAGCGGUGAAAUGCGUAGAUAUUA